UAUGACCAUAUCAUGUUGAAACACCAGUUCCUGUAUGAUCACUGAAGUUAAACAAUGUCAAAACUGGUCAGUACCUAGAUGGGUGACCACUUGGGUAUACAGGUGCU